UAGGGGAGGCCUGGCAGGACGGCCGAGGAGGAGCUUUACAUCACCGCUCCCCACCCAGGGCGGGAGCCCUCGCCGCCCAUCGUAAACUUGAGCCGGAGCAGGAGGAGCUCGCUCGCGAGCAGCCAUCCGAGGGACAGGCUCCAGCCGCCGCCAGGAGCUCUCCGGGGAGGGUCGCUGGCUCCCCACCUCGAGAGGAAGGAGGACAGCCCAGCCCACACCCGGAGGAGACGCACGCAGGCUCCUGAGACACAAAGGAAGCCCCGAGGCCACGCACGGCCCCCGCCCGGCACGCGGUGACGGCUCGUGUCCUGCCACUGCACGACUGGGACGUGGGUCCCUGCCCGCGUGUGCUCCGCGGCGGGCCCUCCCCGCCAUGAGCCUGCGGGUCACCCGGGUCACCCGAGAAGGCCCAGCUCUGGGACAAGCAGGGGACGCCCGUUAACCCCCGCGACGGCCGCCGAGCCUGGCAGACGCGGAGGAGACGAAGCCUUCUCCUCCCCGGAGCCUGCGCACAUGCCGGGCCCCCAGGGAGGCGGGAGGUGAGGAGGACGCUCGCGCCUCCGGCCCCUCGGACCACGCGUGGGCCGCGCCCGCCGCCGGCGCCAUGGGGCAGCUGCUGGCCCAAUGCUGCUGGUGCUGCUGGCUGCUGCUGCUGCUGCUCGGCCGCGGCUUGCAGGUGACGGCCCAGGUGGUCGGCGGGCGGGGGAGGGGGUCUCGGCGGGAGCGUGUCCCCGCGUGUCUCACGGUGUGGUCUUGUGUGUGUGCAGGUGCGGGGAGCCCACUCCCGAUCGCAAGACCACCCAGGGUUUGAGGUCCUGGCUUCUGCCUCCCAUUACUGGCCGCUGGAGAGCGUGGACGGGAUCCGCGAGCUGCAGGACACCACCGGAGACAUCGUGGAGGGCCGGGUCAACAAAGGCAUCUACCUCAAGGAGGAGAAGGGGGUCACGCUCCUCUACUACGGCAGGUUCCAGAGCUCCUGCCUCAGCAACCCUGCGCGCUGCGGCCCCGAGGGGGUCACGUUCUCCUUCUUCUGGAAGAUGCAAGGGGAGCAGUCCAGACCGGUCCCUUCCGCGUACGGCGGGCAGGUCAUUUCCGACGGCUUCAAGGUCGGCUCCAGCGGCGGCCGGGGCUCCGUGGAGCUGUACACGCGGGACAACUCCAAGACGUGGGAGGCCACCUUCAGCCCGCCCGGUGAGUGGCGGCCUCCGCCCCUGAGCGCGGCCCCCAGGGGCGAGUGUCCGCUCUGGGCGCCGUGCGUGC
rnacentral:lncRNA from 1 species